UACGAAGGGGGCUAGCGUUGCUCGGGAAUCACUGGGCGUAAAGGGUGCGUAGGCGGGUCUUUUAAGUCAGGGGUGAAAUCCUGGAGCUCAACUCCAGAACUGCCUUUGAUACUGAAGAUCUUGAGUUCGGGAGAGGUGAGUGGAACUGCGAGUGUAGAGGUGAAAUUCGUAGAUAUUCGGAAGAACACCAGUGGCGAAGGCGACUUACUGGACACAUAUUGACGCUGAGGUGCGAAAAGCGUGGGGAGCAAACAGG
rnacentral:rRNA from 1 species